rnacentral:rRNA from 1 species
CAUAGCCUUUAGCCACCACAGUAUUAAAGGUAACGCCUGCCCAGUGAAAACUUUAAACGGCCGCGGUAUCCUAACCGUGCAAAGGUAGCGUAAUAACUUGUCUUUUAAAUAAAGACUAGCAUGAAUGGCUAAAUGAGGACCUAACUGUCUUCUAAGACCAAUCAAUGAACCUGAUCUUUCAGUACAAAAGCUGAAAUCACAACAUAAGACGAGAAGACCCUGCGGAGCUUUAAAAACCCCACUUUUUAAGUUGGGGCGACUACGGAAAUAAAAAAAACCUCCACGACAGGACUGACAAUCCAAAAAAGGAAUCACACACCAACUAAGCUGACCAACGAACCAAGUUACCCCAGGGGUAACAGCGCCAUCCUCUUCAAGAGCCCCUAUCGCCAAGAGGGUUUACGACCUCGAUGUUGGAUCAGGACCCCCUAGUGGCGCAGCCGCUACUAAAGGCUCGUUUGUUCAACGACUAACGUCCUACGUGAUCUGAGUUCAGACCGGAGCAAUCCAGGUCGU